ensembl:lncRNA
GUAGACUCUUCCUGGAGAACAAUCCAGAAUAAGACCGCAAGCUGUUGAAUGUUGCAUCCUGGUAUCAUUAAGCAGCCAAAUGCCUUCAGUGUCAGACAGUGGAGGAGGGGGAGUUAGCUGACCUUGGGUGAGACAAGUAGGUUCCUGGAGAAGAAAGAUGUGGCGUCACCUGCUCGACUCACCAUGGCGGGACAUGUUCACUGAGCAGAUAUUUGCCUUCACUUGAAAAGCUCUUCCUCUGGCGGAGUGGACAGCUUGGUGAUAACGUGUUUUAAUAGAUCGCUUUACACCUCUUUCGUAGGAUUGGAUGGAACAGCCUUUGGGGAUCUUUGCUUUGGACCGAGCUUGAUUCAGUGACUUGAUGCCGUUUUUUGAGUUUCCUGUAAAAGGUGUCAUCUGUGGGAUAUUACAUGAUUACCUUGGAUCUGGUACAUCAAUAACAUUGGCUCGGAUAUUUCUCGGAGUUGAGCUCAAGCGGUUCCAGUUUCGGCUCUUAAGAGUUUAGAUUCUCUCCAAG